CAGCUGAUCUCCUCAGGUUCUCCUCUGUGGUAAAAGUUCAACGAUCAACAGAAGAAACCAAAAAAACAAACAAACACCAGCUACAGUUAAUGACGCUGUUGUGAGUAAAACCACAGAAAACUGGACCAAGACAAACUUUGAACACGUCUCUAAUCAGGAACAGCUGGGUCGUGCAGGAAGCGAUGAUUCCUCCUCAGCAAACUUUUCAUCUAAAGACUUUUUUACACUUUGUUAAACGAGCAUUUGUUUACUCGAAGAAUAAUCUGGGUUUGAGACAUGAAAGUGUUUUUUCAAGGGGAAUGUUUUUCUCUUAACUCUUCUCACGUGGCUACAGGUUUAAAAGGACACAAGCUGUGGUGCACAACUUCUGCUUCUGAUCCGAUAAGACGGCAUCCUUCCUGACGAAGCUGACUGAAGGGAUAAUAAGGCUCGGAGAAGGCCGCCCCUGCCGCCACUGAGGACAACUACACUAAUACAGACAAGAGCGCCUCAACAGUUACACACUGAAGAGUUGGGGUUUUGCUGUAUGCAACUAGCUACCAUCUCCAACGCUUGUGCAAAACAGAAAAGGGAACUGGUAAUUCAGGAGCCGGACACAGAGGUGAACGGUGUGCCGAGAGCCGGAGCGACUCGGGACGAUGGAGAGAGGAGGAGGAGGAAUCGGAUCACGUCGCCCACGGAGCCUCUCACCUCGACAC